rnacentral:rRNA from 1 species
AGAGUUUGAUCCUGGCUCAGGAUGAACGCUGGCGGCGUGCUUAACACAUGCAAGUCGAACGAUGAAGCUGGAGCUUGCUCUGGUGGAUUAGUGGCGAACGGGUGAGUAACACGUGAGCAACCUGCCCCUGACUCUGGGAUAACAGCCGGAAACGGCUGCUAAUACCGGAUAUGCACCAUGAACGCAUGUUCUGUGGUGGGAAAGAUUUUUCGGUUGGGGAUGGGCUCGCGGCCUAUCAGCUUGUUGGUGAGGUAAUGGCUCACCAAGGCGUCGACGGGUAGCCGGCCUGAGAGGGUGACCGGCCACACUGGGACUGAGACACGGCCCAGACUCCUACGGGAGGCAGCAGUGGGGAAUAUUGCACAAUGGGCGAAAGCCUGAUGCAGCAACGCCGCGUGAGGGAUGACGGCCUUCGGGUUGUAAACCUCUUUUAGCAGGGAAGAAGCGAGAGUGACGGUACCUGCAGAAAAAGCGCCGGCUAACUACGUG